GACGAACGCUGGCGGCGUGCUUAACACAUGCAAGUCGAACGGAAAGGCCUGCUUUCCCUUGUGGAUUGCGGGUACUCGAGUGGCGAACGGGUGAGUAACACGUGAGUGAUCUGCCCCCAACUUGGGUAUAAGCCUGGGAAACUGGGUCUAAUUCCCGAUAGGACUGCAGGGUGGUGCCUGUGGUGGAAAACGAUUUUCUAGUGGUUGGGGAUGAGCUCGCGGCCUAGCAGCUUGUUGGUGGGGUAAUGGCCUACCAAGGCGGCGACGGGUAGGCGGUCUGAGAGGGUAGGCAAGCCAAGUGGGGCGGAGUUACAGCCCGUACACAUGCCAGAAGCAGCAGUAGGGGAUAUAGGAGAAUAGGCGGAAGCCAAGUGAAACGACGCCGCGUGGAAGAUAGCGGGGUUAGGGUUGUGAACUCCUAACAAGCGCGAAGGAGCCGCAUGGAUGGAAGGAUGGUGUCGGUAGUGGUAGAAGAAGCACCGGCUAACUACGUG
rnacentral:rRNA from 1 species